rnacentral:rRNA from 1 species
CAGUCGCCGCGGUAAUACGUAGGUGGCAAGCGUUGUCCGGAAUUAUUGGGCGUAAAGCGCGCGCAGGCGGCCUAUCCAGUCUGUCUUAAAAGUUCGGGGCUCAACCCCGUGAUGGGAUGGAAACUAGUAGGCUAGAGUAUCGGAGAGGAAAGCGGAAUUCCUAGUGUAGCGGUGAAAUGCGUAGAUAUUAGGAAGAACACCAGUGGCGAAGGCGGCUUUCUGGACGAAAACUGACGCUGAGGCGCGAAAGCUAGGGGAGCGAACGGGAUUAGAUACCCGCGUAGUCCCUGUCUCUUAUACA